CAUGCUGGUUUCCCUGCUCAGUCCGGCACUGAGGCCAGUCAUUCAGCCAUCGGAUUCUUGUGGCAACGUACCCUGUAACAUUAGCUUCCCACUUGCAGAAGUUGGAAGUGCUCGAAAUUGUAAGGAAGGCACGUGCCACUGCAGGAACUUCCACAGAUCCACUUGCAUAGCGAUCCGUAGAGGGUCUGAUUGACGUGGUGCUGACUUAGAUAUCGAAAGAUUGUUGGGGACAGAAGAAGAAUCGCUGGUCACGGAGCAGGCAGUACACGACGGUGUCUGAUUCCACACUACUGGUGGUGGUGGUUGUUCAUCCGGAGAGAGAUCGAUCUUCAGUGGAGCCACACUGUCGCCGUCACAGUAGGAAUCUAGUUGUCAGUGCGGAUGUGAGGUGGUUGAUGUGCGUGGACAUGUUUUGGCAGCAGUGGGUGGUGUGUUAGGACGGAUAGAACAAGGCCUGUUGUUGUUUGGCUGCAGUACCGGGGAUAUGCAGUGGUUUAGACAUUUCUGUGCGAGUUACAUUCCUGGGGCUUGUUGUAAGUUUUGUUACAAUGGAGCUGGCGGAGUUGGAGUUGGACUCCAGGAGCAUGGUUUGGUCUGUGGUGCUCAAGGCUUAUGUUGUGUCGCUUCUACUGCUUCUUUCAGUGCUGGUUUGGUCCGUGGGCGAUGUCUGGUUGCAAUACGUGCAGGAUGUCUUCACGUCAGCCUGCGUUAGUAUCCAUUACAGCUUGUCGCGGUCGAGUUCAUCGUCGUAACUGUGCUCCCUUUCUUCUCGAGUUUUUCGUAAGUUAGCCUGCAUCAGUGUCAGAAAAAUUGUAUUCCUGGCUGUUACUGGUUUCUCUCAAGAGGAAUCAUGGUAGUGCACUGUUCAUGCCAAGAGGUAUGGCGGUGAAACAUCUCCGAUUCUUAUGACGCUGUCACAGAUCCUGUCAUAUAGGCGCUCUGAGAAUGUGGCUUGCAUUCUCUGUAGAAUACUGUCUCAAGAUAUAGGGAUAUUGAGCGGGACAUUGAUUGAAAGUCUCAACGAUCAUCAAAAUAUGGUUGCCAUGGUUCUGUCCGCAAAAAGUCUUUUGCAUGCUUCUAGUAAGGACCCUGAAGGAGAUGAAGGUGACUAUAAGAUCCUACCCAUCAAGAGGACCUUGGUUCCCUCGCAUAAGACAAAACUAUAAACAGAAUGCAGUAGCUCUUGGAGGAACGAGGAGGCUGCUACAUGUAACAUGUAGUGUCUGCAGAGACCUCUUCUGAUGCUGUUGCAAGAGAGAAAUUAUUGUACAAGGACUGGGAACUUUUUGAAGAAAUCAAGGUUCCUUCAAAUAUAUUUCUGUCAUGUUAACAUCGUGUGUCCAAGGGAAAGACCAUAGUUAAGCUUGAUGGGGUUGCAAUUACUGUGUGGGUGUCACCAUUUUUCAAAGAGAUUACAAUUCGUGAUUUUUGUGAAUGUCACCACCAUAGUUUGUACAUCAAUGUUCACCCUUUCUUGCUCUCUUUACAAAGACAACAAUGCUCAACUUGUAUAAUUAUAUAUUCCUCUAUUCCUCAUCUUCC